UACGUAGGGCGCAAGCGUUAUCCGGAAUUAUUGGGCGUAAAGAGCUCGUAGGCGGUUUGUCGCGUCUGCCGUGAAAGUCCGGGGCUCAACCUCGGACUUGCGGUGGGUACGGGCAGACUAGAGUGUGGUAGGGGAGACUGGAAUUCCUGGUGUAGCGGUGAAAUGCGCAGAUAUCAGGAGGAACACCGGUGGCGAAGGCGGCAUCCUGGACCGGUAUUGACGCUGAGGCGCGAAAGCCAGGGGAGCAAACGGG
rnacentral:rRNA from 1 species